rnacentral:rRNA from 1 species
CAAAGGUAACGCUUAAGGAUGGGGCUGCGGCUGAUUAGAUUGUUGGCGGGGUAAUGGCCCACCAAGUCGAUUAUCAGUAAGGGCUCUUAGCGGAGAGGCCCUGAGAGGGAGUCUGAGACACUACUCCCAGCCUUACGGGGCGCAGCAAGUAGGAGACUUCUGCAAUGCGCGAAAGCGUGACAGAGCAAGCCAGAGUGCUAUUCCUUUUGGAAUAGCUUUUGUGGGAUGUAAAAAGUCUCACGAAUAAGGACUGGGCAAGACUGGUGCCAGCCGCCGCGGUAAUACCAGCGGUCCAAGUCGCAGCCACAUUUAUUGGGUCUAAAACAUCCGUAGCUUGUUAAGUCAGUCUUUUGUGAAAUCUAACAUCUCAAGUGUUAGGCGUGCAAAAGAUACUACUUGACUAGAGACCGGGAGACGUGAAGAGUACGAUAGGAGUAGCGGUUAAAUGCGUUGAUCCUUAUUGGACUAACAAUAGCGAAGGCACUUCACGAGAACGGAUCUGACAGUGAGGGAUGAAGGCUAGGGGCGCAAAACGGAUUAGAUACCCGUGUAGUCCUAGCAGUAAACACUGCACACUAAACAUUGGGGUCUCUUCGAGAGAUCUCAGUGCUGUAGGGAAGCCGGAGAGUGUGCUACCUGGGAAGUAUAGUCGCAAGACCGAAACUUAAAGGAAUAGGCGGGGGGGUACUACAACGAGUGACGCGUGCGGUUCAAUUAGAUUCUACACCGUGAACCUCACCAGGAUCGACAGCAGAAUGAAGGUCAGUCUAAAGGGCUUACCUGACACGCUGAGAGGAGAUGCAUGGCCAACGUCAGCCUGUGUCGUGAGAUGACCUGUUAAAUCAGGUAACAGGCGAGACCCUCAUGUAUAAUUGCUUAGCGCACAUUAUACAGACUGCCUUGGUAACAAGGAGGAAGGUGUGGGCUACGUUAGGUGAGUACAUCCCGAAUACCCUGGGCUACACGCGCGCGGCAAUGCUAUAAUCAAAAGGUUGCGACUCCGAAAGGAGAAGCCAAUCCUAUAAACUAUAGCCUAGUUCAGAUUGAGGAUUGCAACUCAUCCUCAUGACGCUGGAAUUCGUAGUAAUCGGACUUUAUCAGAGUCUGGUGAAUAAGUCAAUGCCCCUUGCACUCACCGCCCGUCAAACCAACCGAGUUUUGCAUUUACGAGGCCCGCAAGGGACGAAUAUUUGUAAGACAAGGUAGGUUAAGUCGUCACAAGGUA